GAUGAACGCUGGCGGCGUGCCUAAUACAUGCAAGUCGAGCGAACAGACGAGGAGCUUGCUCCUCUGACGUUAGCGGCGGACGGGUGAGUAACACGUGGAUAACCUACCUAUAAGACUGGGAUAACUUCGGGAAACCGGAGCUAAUACCGGAUAAUAUAUUGAACCGCAUGGUUCAAUAGUGAAAGACGGUUUUGCUGUCACUUAUAGAUGGAUCCGCGCCGCAUUAGCUAGUUGGUAAGGUAACGGCUUACCAAGGCAACGAUGCGUAGCCGACCUGAGAGGGUGAGCGGCCACACUGGAACUGAGACACGGUCCAGACUCCUACGGGAGGCAGCAGUAGGGAAUCUUCCGCAAUGGGCGAAAGCCUGACGGAGCAACGCCGCGUGAGUGAUGAAGGUCUUCGGAUCGUAAAACUCUGUUAUUGGGGAAGAACAAAUGUGUAAGUAACUAUGCACGUCUUGACGGUACCUAAUCAGAAAGCCACGGCUAACUACGUG
rnacentral:rRNA from 1 species